rnacentral:lncRNA from 10 species
CUUGGAUACCGCGUCACAAAGAACAUGCAAACAUGAGGAAAGUGAGAGCCCAGAACGCCUAGAAUUUACCUCAGUCCCUGGCUGAGGGACAGGAAGCUUUGAAGUGACAGAUGAAGCUAGGGACCCAGAUCCUGGGAUAGGGCAGGCCCAGCAAGGGCCUGAGGGACCCACUGUCUUCCGUCUGGCCAACAAAUUUAGGACAAGCCUCCCUCCCCAUGCUGCAGUGGAGGAAACGGAAGCUUUAGGAAGAGAAGUGCCUUCUACAAGCUCCACGGCUGGAAAAUGGGCAAAGUCAGGACUCAAACCCUGGUGACUCCAGGGCCCCAGGCCUGGGAAAAAGUGAACCUUCAAGGCGGGAAGGGGAAAUCUUCCCUUGGUCUCCACGGUCUCUAAAGGACGGCUGACAGAGAGAGACAUUUGUCCACUGGUUCCCCAACAACCUCCCAACACCUUUGUUGGCUGAAAGUUGACCCCAAGACAGUCAACUCUCCGGACUUUCCAGCUGCCUUGGAAAAACCCUAAAUGUCCGCCCCAGCUGCAGUCGAAAUUAGAGGUGGGUUAAGCAGAUCUGGUGUGUGCCAGAAAUAGCAUUGGUUGCAUUGUGUUUUUUUAAAUAUGUAAAUACCUCAACCACAUACUAACAAAAACAUACAUGUUGUAUUUUGGGUAGAUUCAUGCCCAAAGCAGUCUGGGACCUCAGAAAUACGGUGUGUGGGGAAGGAAGGACUAGAAGCUGGCCCACACGGGAAGAAGUCUCCAGGGGGCAAGAGUGUGUCAG